ACUCCUACGGGAGGCAGCAGUGGGGAAUAUUGCACAAUGGGGGAAACCCUGAUGCAGCCAUGCCGCGUGUGUGAAGAAGGCCUUCGGGUUGUAAAGCACUUUCAGUCGUGAGGAAGGUAGUGUAGUUAACACCUGCAUUAUUUGACGUUACCUACAGAAGAAGCACCGGCUAACUCCGUGCCAGCAGCCGCGGUAAUACGGAGGGUGCGAGCGUUAAUCGGAAUUACUGGGCGUAAAGCGCAUGCAGGCGGCCUGUUAAGUCAGAUGUGAAAGCCCGGGGCUUAACCUCGGAAUUGCAUUUGAAACUGGCAGGCUAGAGUCUUGUAGAGGGGGGUAGAAUUUCAGGUGUAGCGGUGAAAUGCGUAGAGAUCUGAAGGAAUACCAGUGGCGAAGGCGGCCCCCUGGACAAAGACUGACGCUCAGAUGCGAAAGCGUGGGGGAGC
rnacentral:rRNA from 1 species